UACGAAGGACCCAAGCGUUAUCCGGAUUAUUGGGUUUAAAGGGUGCGUAGGCGGAUUAUUAAGUCAGUGGUGAAAGCCUGCAGCUUAACUGCAGAAUUGCCAUUGAUACUGAUGAUCUUGAGUAUGAUUGAGGUGGGCGGAAUGUGUCAUGUAGCGGUGAAAUGCUUAGAUAUGACACAGAACACCGAUUGCGAAGGCAGCUCACUAAGCCAUAACUGACGCUGAUGCACGAAAGCGUGGGGAGCAAACAGG
rnacentral:rRNA from 1 species